UACGGAGGGGGCUAGCGUUGUUCGGAAUUACUGGGCGUAAAGCGCACGUAGGCGGCUUUGCAAGUUAGCGGUGAAAGCCCGGGGCUCAACCCCGGAAUUGCCUUUAAGACUGCAUCGCUUGAAUCCGGGAGAGGUGAGUGGAAUUCCGAGUGUAGAGGUGAAAUUCGUAGAUAUUCGGAAGAACACCAGUGGCGAAGGCGGCUCACUGGACCGGUAUUGACGCUGAGGUGCGAAAGCGUGGGGAGCAAACAGG
rnacentral:rRNA from 1 species